rnacentral:rRNA from 1 species
AUUGAACGCUGGCGGCAGGCUUAACACAUGCAAGUCGAGCGGGGUGAUGGUGCUUGCACUAUCACUUAGCGGCGGACGGGUGAGUAAUGCCUAGGGAUCUGCCUAUUAGUGGGGGACAACAUCUCGAAAGGGAUGCUAAUACCGCAUACGUUCUAAGGGAGAAAGCAGGGGAUCACUUGUGACCUUGCGCUAAUAGAUGAGCCUAAGGCGGCUUAGCUAGUUGGUGGGGUAACGGCCUACCAAGGCGACGAUCUGUAGCGGGUCUGAGAGGAGGGUCCGCCACACUGGGGCCGAGACACGGCCCAGGAUCCUACGGGAGGCAGCAGUGGGGAAUAUCGGACAAUGGGGGGAACCCUGAUCCAGCCAUGCCGCGUGUGGGAAGAAGGCCUUAUGGUUGUAAAGCACUUUAAGCGAGGAGGAGGCUCUUUUGGUUAAUACCCAAGAUGAGUGGACGUUACUCGCAGAAUAAGCACCGGCUAACUCUGUGCCAGCCGCCGCCGUAA